rnacentral:rRNA from 1 species
CACAUGCAGUCGACGGCAGCACAGAAGAGCUUGCUCUUUGGGUGGCGAGUGGCGGACGGGUGAGUAAUGUCUGGGAAACUGCCCGAUGGAGGGGGAUAACUACUGGAAACGGUAGCUAAUACCGCAUAACGUCGCAAGACCAAAGUGGGGGACCUUCGGGCCUCACACCAUCGGAUGUGCCCAGAUGGGAUUAGCUAGUAGGUGGGGUAAUGGCUCACCUAGGCGACGAUCCCUAGCUGGUCUGAAAGGAUGACCAGCCACACUGGAACUGAGACACGGUCCAGACUCCUACGGGAGGCAGCAGUGGGGAAUAUUGCACAAUGGGCGCAAGCCUGAUGCAGCCAUGCCGCGUGUAUGAAGAAGGCCUUCGGGUUGUAAAGUACUUUCAGCGGGGAGGAAGGCGGUGAGGUUAAUAACCUUGCCGAUUGACGUUACCCGCAGAAGAAGCACCGGCUAACUCCGUGCCAGCAGCCGCGGUAAUACGGAGGGUGCAAGCGUUAAUCGGAAUUACUGGGCGUAAAGCGCACGCAGGCGGUCUGUUAAGUCAGAUGUGAAAUCCCCGGGCUUAACCUGGGAACUGCAUUUGAAACUGGCAGGCUUGAGUCUCGUAGAGGGGGGUAGAAUUCCAGGUGUAGCGGUGAAAUGCGUAGAGAUCUGGAGGAAUACCGGUGGCGAAGGCGGCCCCCUGGACGAAGACUGACGCUCAGGUGCGAAAGCGUGGGGGAGCAAACAGGAUUAGAUACCCUGGGUAGUCCACGCGUAAACGAUGUCGACUUGGAGGUUGUGCCCUUGAGGCGUGGCUUCCGGAGCUAACGCGUUAAGUCGACCGCCUGGGGAGUACGGCCGCAAGGUUAAAACUCAAAUGAAUUGACGGGGGCCCGCACAAGCGGUGGAGCAUGUGGUUUAAUUCGAUGCAACGCGAAGAACCUUACCUGGCCUUGACAUCCAGAGAACUUAGCAGAGAUGCUUUGGUGCCUUCGGGAACUCUGAGACAGGUGCUGCAUGGCUGUCGUCAGCUCGUGUUGUGAAAUGUUGGGUUAAGUCCCGCAACGAGCGCAACCCUUAUCCUUUGUUGCCAGCGGUUCGGUCGGGAACUCAAAGGAGACUGCCGGUGAUAAACCGGAGGAAGGUGGGGAUGACGUCAAGUCAUCAUGGCCCUUACGGCCAGGGCUACACACGUGCUACAAUGGCGCAUACAAAGAGAAGCGACCUCGCGAGAGCAAGCGGACCUCAUAAAGUGCGUCGUAGUCCGGAUUGGAGUCUGCAACUCGACUCCAUGAAGUCGGAAUCGCUAGUAAUCGUAGAUCAGAAUGCUACGGUGAAUACGUUCCCGGGCCUUGUACACACCGCCCGUCACACCAUGGGAGUGGGUUGCAAAAGAAGUAGGUAGCUUAACCUUCGGGAGGGCG